rnacentral:misc_RNA from 1 species
GAAAAUAUAGAGAAAUGAAAUAUGAUAUUAGGUUUUAUUUAGUUCAUAUAUAUAUUAUAGAAAAACUUAUGUAUAAAUUCGAUUCUCGGUUCAGUUUCGAUUUGGUUUCAGUUUGAUUCUUAGUGAAAAACCAAGACCGAACCAAAGUAUCAAAAUAACUUCGGUUUGGUACGAUUUCUAUCGAUUUGGUAUGGUACUUCGGUUCAGUUUGGGACCCCAGAGAACAGUCACAGUCCUACUCUUAGCUGAAGCUCAUUGAUCUUUUACCUUUUUUGUAUAAUUGAAAAAUAAUGAAAAUGGAAAUUGAAAGGAAACCAUAGGGUUUGUGUGAUGAUGACCUCAUGAACUGCAACUUUGUGAUUUGGAAACCUAGGAUUUUAUAGUCUCUCAGCAAGUCAGAAUUAAAGUAUUUUCAUUGUACACUUUAAUAUAAUAAUUUGAUUAAACCUGUGCAAACUUAAAUUUGUUGAAAAUGCUCAAGAAUUAUAAGGAAAAUCUCAGUUCAACCAGUGAUAAUAUAUAUUUUAAAUUCUCAAGGUAGAGUAUGAACUAACUUGGGCAAUGAAACAAUGCUUAGAAAGAUUGCAAUGGUUAUAACAUCAUUGAAAGUUUAACUUUGCUAACAUCAUUGAAAGUUUAACUUUGCUUUCUCUAUAGAUUUUUUUUUUUUUGUGCUGAAUUUUUAUAAAGCUUAACUUUGCUCUCUCUAGAAUUUUUUUGGUGCCACUGAAUUUUUGUGCUUAACGUGUCCAUACAAAUCAUUGUUUCUCAGGUCAGGUGUAAUCUAAGAAUAUUCAAUUGCUAAAGAUAAGCUUUUGUUUAUGUCCUGCAGUUUUAUACUAAACAACACAAUGCUGUACUACUCCUGAAAUGCCAUUUAAGUGAUUGUUCAUAAUGAUUUCUUUUUUAAAUGGUACAAUUUUAUUUGAAAACAAUGCUAUAGUGUACUUCUCUGGCUUUAGCUUAUUGAAAUGUCAGUUCUGUCGUUACGUUUUCAUUCAAAUUCUAUAUUUUUGUUUAAAAUGGUGCUACUGCCUAUGACUCACUAAUAAGAUCUGUUUGUUGUGCAUUUAUCCCUAGUGUAUUUUCUGUCGCUGUUGUUGCAGAUAGAGUGGGUGGCUUUGUUCAUAAAAUUGACUAAUGAGGCUAGUUAUUGAAAUGUUUUUCCGCGUGUUGGAAUAGUUAGAUGAUUGCAAUUAUGUGUGUUUAUUCACAUCUGUGCUAACAUACAAAUGGACAUAAGCAAGCAUUUCUUGUCUCAUAGUCAUGUGGGGUCAACGGAAACAGCCUAUCUGCAAAGCAGGGGUAAGGUUGUGUACAUUGACCCUUCUCAGAGCCUACAAGUGUCAGAUGCUUCGUGCACUGAAUCACCCUUUUAUUGUCACGUAGGUCCGAUGCUUAGCUCCUGCUAGUGUUUUUCUGUUCUGGCAGUUCCUCUAACUAAAAGCAUGUUGGGUAAUAAGGAUUAGCACUUGAUAAUUUGGUGCCCGUCAAUCAAGUCUAUUGAUCCUUUGGCAGGAUUAUGUUCCAGAGGACCU